rnacentral:rRNA from 1 species
AUUGAACGCUGGCGGCAUGCCUUACACAUGCAAGUCGAACGGUAACAGGCCGCAAGGUGCUGACGAGUGGCGAACGGGUGAGUAAUGCAUCGGAACGUGCCCAGUAGUGGGGGAUAGCCCGGCGAAAGCCGGAUUAAUACCGCAUACGACCUGAGGGUGAAAGGGGGGGAUCGCAAGACCUCUCGCUAUUGGAGCGGCCGAUGUCAGAUUAGGUAGUUGGUGGGGUAAAGGCCUACCAAGGCAACGAUCUGUAGUUGGUCUGAGAGGACGACCAGCCACACUGGGACCGAGACACGGCCCAGACUCCUACGGGAGGCAGCAGUGGGGAAUUUUGGACAAUGGGCGCAAGCCUGAUCCAGCAAUGACGCGUGCAGGAAGAAGGCCUUCGGGUUGUAAACUGCUUUUGUCAGGGAAGAAAUCUUCUGGGUUAAUACCUCGGGAGGAUGACGGUACCUGAAGAAUAAGCACCGGCUAACUACGUGCCAGCCGCCGCAGUAAUAC